UGGGGAAUUUUGGACAAUGGGGGAAACCCUGAUCCAGCCAUCCCGCGUGUGCGAUGAAGGCCUUCGGGUUGUAAAGCACUUUUGGCAGGAAAGAAACGUCGCGGGUUAAUACCCCGCGAAACUGACGGUACCUGCAGAAUAAGCACCGGCUAACUACGUGCCAGCAGCCACGGUAAUACGUAGGGUGCAAGCGUUAAUCGGAAUUACUGGGCGUAAAGCGUGCGCAGGCGGUUCGGAAAGAAAGAUGUGAAAUCCCAGAGCUUAACUUUGGAACUGCAUUUUUAACUACCGGGCUAGAGUGUGUCAGAGGGAGGUGGAAUUCCGCGUGUAGCAGUGAAAUGCGUAGAUAUGCGGAGGAACACCGAUGGCGAAGGCAGCCUCCUGGGAUAACACUGACGCUCAUGCACGAAAGCGUGGGGAGCAAACAGGAUUAGAUACCCUGGUAGUCCACGCCCUAAACGAUGUCAACUAGCUGUUGGGGCCUUCGGGCCUUGGUAGCGCAGCUAACGCGUGAAGUUGACCGCCUGGGGAGUACGGUCGCAAGAUUAAAACUCAAAUGAA
rnacentral:rRNA from 1 species